rnacentral:sRNA from 1 species
UUUAGCCCCGAUAGAAGUGGAAAUCCUUUUGUGUCUCGUUUCUUUAACGAGACACAAAAGAUUGAAACGGAUAGCGGGAC